rnacentral:rRNA from 1 species
CAGCCGCCGCGGUAAUCCGAAGGGGGCUAGCGUUGUUCGGAUUUACUGGGCGUAAAGGGCGCGUAGGCGGACUGAUAAGUCAGGGGUGAAUCCCAAGGCUCAACCUUGGAACUGCCUUUGAUACUGUUUGUCUUGAGCUCGAGAGAGGUAAGUGGAACUGCGAGUGUAGAGGUGAAAUUCGUAGAUAUUCGCAAGAACACCAGUGGCGAAGGCGGCUUACUGGCUCGAAACUGACGCUGAGGCGCGAAAGCGUGGGGAGCAAACAGGAUUAGAUACCCGAGUAGUCCCUGUCUCUUAUACA